rnacentral:tRNA from 1 species
CCAGACCAUAGCUCAGUGGUAGAGCAUCUGCUUUGCAUGCAGAAGGUCCCAUGUUCAAUCCCCAGCACUGUCUGGA